ensembl:snRNA U6 U6 spliceosomal RNA
GUAAUUGCUUGAGCAGUACAUACACUAAAAUUAGAACAACAGAGAGGCAAUUAGGAUAGCCCCUGAGCAAGAAUGACGUGCAAAUUCAUGAAGUAUUCUAUAUUUUU